AGGGGGUAUCCUCUACCCAUUACCUCAACCCACAUCUAGAGAGAGCAAGCAUCACCUCUCAUCCCUGGAACCCUUCAAAUUUGAACCAUAUUCCUCCAUUUCUUCUCAUUUUCUCUUAUGGCAAGCUAUUCUAGAGUCUGACAGAGCUUUCAUCAGGUUGUCAGAAAAUUGCUCAAACCACCCACUUCUCAUCCCUCAUUUUUCU
rnacentral:lncRNA from 1 species